UCAAAUGAAGCAAGCCUAUCUUCAUCAAGUAACAAGAAUGAAGUUGGUACUAUGUACCCUCCACCACAGCAGAUGCAACAGUCCUCCUUAGCUUCUGUGCCAAUUAAUUCCGACAAUCAAACGCAAACCAACAAGAAAAAGAGAAAUCUUCCAGGCAAUCCAGGUAAACCAUGUUGGUUAUCAUAUGUUAUUUGUUUGAUUCUUAUCAAAUCCAUGUACAUACGUCAAUGUUAAUAUAAUAUAGACGUAUAUUUAUCGAUCUUGUAUCUUCAUCUUGGCAUCUACCUUCUGAUAUAUAUAUUGAAAGUGUUGUAUAUAUAUAAAGACCAUUUCUUUAUUUGAUUAAUUACAUCAUUUUAAUUGAAUCUUAAAGACCCAGAGGCUGAGGUGAUAGCUAUGUCUCCAAAAUCACUGAUGGCAACAAACAGAUUUGUAUGUGAGAUUUGCAACAAAGGGUUUCAAAGAGAUCAGAAUCUUCAGUUGCAUAGACGAGGUCACAAUCUGCCAUGGAAGCUGAAGCAAAGAUCAAAACAAGAGGUGGUUAGGAAGAAGGUGUAUGUAUGCCCAGAACCCAGUUGUGUCCACCAUGAACCCGCAAGAGCACUUGGAGACCUCACUGGUAUCAAAAAACAUUUCUCAAGAAAACAUGGCGAGAAGAAAUGGAAAUGCGAGAAGUGUUCGAAGCGAUAUGCUGUUCAAUCCGACUGGAAAGCUCAUUCCAAGAUUUGUGGCACACGAGAAUAUCGAUGUGAUUGUGGCACACUUUUCUCAAGGUAAAAUGGUCUAAUAAUUCUUAAUAAACAAGAUAUAUAGUAUUUAAUAAAAGUUCACGAGUGGAAUAAUCCAUAUUAUGAUAUACUGUAGAUUUUUGAAGUGUGUGUGAGUGAGAGAAAGAGAGAACAGUGUUAUGCUACGAUUUUUUAAGCUUCCACAUACAAUAAAUGGGUUUCGUUUUUUUGUUUAGAGUGCUAAAUUGUUUGUUUCUUUUUUGUUCCAUCUCUAUCAUGACGACAGGAGGGACAGCUUCAUUACUCACAGAGCCUUCUGUGGUGCUUUAGCAGGAGAAAAUGCAAGAUCUUCAUCAUCAUCAUCCUUACUACUUUCAUCAAAUCACCUUCCUCUCCAUUUGCCAAUGACUUUCCCACUCAAAACUGAACCUCAACAUCUCCUACAACACCCACAACUCAAUUCAAACAUCAUGACGAAUACUUUACAACAA
rnacentral:lncRNA from 1 species